AUGCACCUCAGGUACCUCAUCCUCACUGCCUUCCUGGGACAGCCACUGGGCACCAUGGGGCAGAUCACUGUCACCCAGCAAGAAGGAGAAAUCACAAUACAGGAAGGAGGCACCUUUCAGACCACAUGCAUGUACCAGGUUUCUAACUUUAGAAAUUUGCAGUGGUACCAGCAGAGGAAAGGCCAAGCUCCUCAGCUGGUCUCAUUUCACGCAGCAGCUGGCUCCAAGCACAGAGGCCGUCUCACCACCUUGCUGAAUACCACAGGGAAAUACAGCCUCCUGCAGCUGGAGGAGGUCGAGGGCUCUGACAGUGCCUUGUACCUCUGUGCUGUCAGGUUGGAUGGGUCUUUGAGCAAUGUGAUCUGGUGA